GGUAAGGUAUCAUUUAAGUACAAGCAAUUGUGAUGUUGUUUAGCCUGCCCUCAUUAAACAGCAUUUAGUGGCUGCAUUCAACAUGUGAUAGAUAUAUUUAAGUAAUUAGGGAAAUCUGCUAAACAAAGAAAAAUCCCAACACUGCCAGUAUUUAAUAUUGUCUAUAUGAAAGCAACACCUAAAUGCCUUUUAUAAAUACAAGUCUCCAAAUUUGUGUUUUCUGGUUAUCGUCAAAUUUGACCUCCAUUAUAGCCAACAGAAAAAAGGCAGAGGCACGCAAAACAGGUGGCGGUCCACCACCACCACCUCUCACAGAGGCUGAAGAGAUGGCCCUCAGUCACAACAGUGGGCGACCCAUUGCUGAGGGCAUCUCUGGGGGGAGCUCAUCGGACCCAGCCACGCCCCAGGACAUAGGGGCCUACAUAAGAGUUACUGAUGAUGGUGUAAUCUGUCUCGUGGAGCCUUCUGCCAUAACACACCUCCAUGCUGUUGAGGAUGAUGAAGACACCUUAUCAGCUGCCACAGAGAGGGAAGAUGCAGAGAGGCCUGUUGAGAGCAAUGCCGGAAGUUACAAUGAGGAAGAAGGUCCAUCAACCUCCACAGCACAGCUUACCUCAGUAAAAUGUUGUUCAGCAUUGACCCACAAUUUACAAUGACACUAAGUAGACAUGGCACUGUGAAAUUCAACGUAAUUUAUGUUCCUAUAGCUCCCUGUGAAACAACUUUACAAAGUAUAUUUAGAAUCCCAAAUGAACAAAUCACACCUAGAAAUGGAGCACAUAAGGCUGCAGAUCACCAAAACAAAAAAGGAAAUACAACUGCUGGACCAUCAGUUAAAGG